ensembl:snRNA U6 U6 spliceosomal RNA
AUGCUCGCUUCAGCAGCAUAUAUACUAAAAUUGGAACGAUACAGAGAAGAUUAGCAUGAUCCCUGUGCAAGGAUGACACACAAAUUCAUGAAGCAUUCCAUAUUUUU